GACAGAGGGUGCAAACGUUGUUCGGAAUUACUGGGCGUAAAGCGCGUGUAGGCUGCUUGGCAAGUCGGAUGUGAAAGCCCUGGGCUUAACCCAGGAAGUGCACUCGAAACUUCCAAGCUCGAGUCCUGGAGAGGGUGGCGGAAUUCUCGGUGUAGAGGUGAAAUUCGUAGAUAUCGAGAGGAACACCGGUGGCGAAGGCGGCUACCUGGACAGUGACUGACGCUGAGACGCGAAAGCGUGGGGAGCAAACAGG
rnacentral:rRNA from 1 species